CAAUACCUCAUACAUCGCCUCAAAUAGGCAAAAUAUAAUCUACCAACACACAAACUACAUGAUUAGACACCAACUAAGGCAGCUCAGCAGACAUACGCCUGACCGUUUCUGUCCCCAUACAUACUACACAGGCAUAUACAGUCAUGUCGAAGCGAUUUUAGGCGGAACACACAAAAAAAUGAACUUGUCUCAAAAAUACAUACUUUCACCGAUUCAGACCACUGAACAAUAUCAACAAAACGCAAUAAAUUCUCC
rnacentral:misc_RNA from 1 species